rnacentral:rRNA from 1 species
GCCUAUCAUGCAGUCGAGCGAUGAUUAAAGAUAGCUUGCUAUUUUUAUGAAGAGCGGCGAACGGGUGAGUAACGCGUGGGAAAUCUGCCGAGUAGCGGGGGACAACGUUUGGAAACGAACGCUAAUACCGCAUAACAAUGAGAAUCGCAUGAUUCUUAUUUGAAAGAAGCAAUUGCUUCACUACUUGAUGAUCCCGCGUUGUAUUAGCUAGUUGGUAGUGUAAAGGACUACCAAGGCGAUGAUACAUAGCCGACCUGAGAGGGUGAUCGGCCCUGGG